GAGGGCUGGAGUGCAGUGGCACGAUCUCGGCUCACUGCAAGCUCCUCCUCCCGGAUUCACGCCAUUCUCCUGCCUCAGCCUCCUGAGUAGCUGGGACUACAGGCGCCCGCCACUACACCCGGCUAAUUUUUUGUAUUUUUUAGUAGAGACGGUGUUUCACUGUGUUAGCCAGGAUGGUCUCAUCUCCUGAGCUCGUGAUCACCCGCCUCGGCCUCCCAGAGUGCUGAGAUUACAGGCGUGAGCCACCGCGCCCGGCCUAGUCUUACUCUCUUUGUCACCCCAUAUCUGAUUAGUCAGCCAAUCCUACUGCCUUUCAAAAUGUAUGUCCAAGGCUGGAUGUCGUGGCUCGCGCCUGUUAUCCCCAGCACUUUGGGAGGCCAAGGCAGGUGGAACACAAGGUCAGGAGAUCGAGACCAUCCUAGCUAACAUGGCGAAACCCCGUCUCUACUGAAAAUACAAAAAAUUAGCCAGGCGUGGUGGCAGGUGCUUGUAGUCCCAGCUACUCGGGAGGCUGAGACAGGAGAAUGGCGUGUACCCAGGAGGCAGAGCUUGCAGUGAGCCGAGAUCCCGCCACCGCAUUCCAGCCUGGGUGACAGAGGGAGACUCCAUCUCAAAAAAAAAAAAAAAAAAAAAAAAAAAAAAAAGUAUGUCCAAAAUCCCACAGUUUCUCAACACCUCCACAACUUCCACCCUGGCCUAUGCCACACAAUCCUAUCUCACUUGUUUUAAUUGCAGUAACUGUAAUUGGUCUCAGUUUCAACCUUUGCCUUCCAUCACUUAAGUCUACUCAGCAGCCACAGUGGUCCUGGUAAGACAGGAGUGAGAUCAUGAUCUUUCUCCACUCAGAACCCUCUCAUGGCUUUCCAUCUCACUUGGAGUAAAAGUAAAAUCAUUAAGGCUUGUAGGAUCUGGCUCCCUGGUACUGCUCUCUGACUUUAGCUCCUACUGUUAUUCACUCCUUUCUGUUGGCCUUCAGGCCCUUGCAGUUGCUGUUCCCUCUACCUAGAUCCCUCUUCCUUCAGAUGUCCACAUGACUUCCUCCCUCAACUCCUUCAGCUCUUUACUGUAUGUCAGCUGAGACCUUUGGCCCCCCUAUGUAUACUCACAGCCUUCUUCAAACGGUCUCUUUCCUUUUUUUGCUUAAUUUUUCUCCUUAGCAUGUAUUACCUCUAAUUUACCUUAUUACCUUAUCCUCCCCCACUACAAUGUAAACUUCAUGGUUUUGGGGGGUUUGUUUUUUGAGAUGGAGUGCAGUAGUGCAAUCUCAGCUCACCGCAACCUCUGCCUCCCAGGUUCAAGUGACUCUUCUGCCUCAGCCGCCCGAGUAGCUGGGAUUACAGGCGUGCACCACCACGCCUGGCUAAGUUUUGUGUUUUUAGUAGAGACGGGGUUUCGCCAUGUUGACCAGGCUGGUAUCAAACUCUUGACCUCAAGAGAUCCACCUGCCUCAGCCUCCCAAAGUGCUGGGAUUAUAGGUGUGAGCCACAGCGCUGGGCUGCUUCAUGUUUUGUUACUGCCGUAUCCUCAGCACCUAGAACCAUACCUGCCACAAAGUAGGCAUUUAAUAAACAUUGGUUAAAUGAUUAAAUGAGCUGUUUAGAUAUAUUAAGAGAAAGCAUCUAUCUACCUUUGACGUUUAGCUUGACUGAGGGUGGCAGUUCUAUUAAAAAAUAGGGCCAGUUGUGGUGGCUCACGCCUGUAAUCUCAACACUUUGGGAGGCCAAGGCACGUGGAUCACCUGAAGCCAGGAGUUUGGGACAAGCCUGGGCAACAUAGUGAGACCCUGUCUCUACAAAAAAUUUAAAAAUUAUGGCUGGGUGUGGUGGCUCACACCUGUAAUCCUAGCACUUUGGGAGGCCGAGGCAGGCAGAUCACUUGAGGUCAGGAGUUUGAGAACAGCCUGGCCAACAUGGUGAAACCCCUGGUCUACUAAAAAUCCAAAAAUUAGAGUAGGAGACCGUGUUGCCUAAUGGAUACGGUGUCUGACUUCGGAUCAGAAGAUCGAGGGUUUGAGUCCUUUUGUGGUCAUAACGUUUGGCCAGGUGUGGUGGCUCAUGCCUGUAAUCCCAGCACUUUAGGAGGCCGAGGCAGGCGGAUCACCUGAGAUCAGGAGUUUGAGACCAGCCUGGCCAACGUGACGAAACCCUGUCUCUACUAAAAAUGCAAAAAUUAGCCGGGCGUGGUGGUGGAUGCCUGUAAUCCCAGCUA